AAGGUUAUUAUGGCCCCAUAGGGACAUUGUGACCCCAUAGGGACAUUACGGCCCCAUAGGGACAUUGUGGCCCCAUAGGGACAUUAUGGCCCCAUAGGGACAUUGUGGCCCCAUAGGGACAUUAUGGCCCCAUAGGGACAUUGUGACCCCAUAGGGACAUUAUGGCCCCAUAGGGACACUGUGACCCUAUAGAACAUUAUGGCCCCAUAGGGACAUUGUGGCCCCAUAGGGACACUGUGACCCCAUAGGAACAUUAUGGCCCCAUAGGGACACUGUGACCCCAUAGGGACAUUAUGGCCCCAUAUGGGCCCCAUCCUCACCUCUCCAUCAGGCUCCGCCCCCUUCUCUUGGCUCCGCCCCUUUUCAGCCUUAAGCUCCGCCUCCAGCUCUUUGUUCCGCCUCAUUUGCAUAUCAAGCUCCGCCUCCAGCCUUAAGCUCCGCCCCCUAUCAGCUUCAAGCUCAGCCUCCAUCACUUGGCUCGGCCUCAUUUGCAUACCAAGCUCCGCCCCCACGCUGUGUCUCCGCCUCAUUUGCAUACCAAGCCCCUCGUCCAGUCUGUGUCUCCGCAUCAUUUGCAUAUCAGGCUCUGCCCCAAUGCUGUGUCUCUGCCUCAUUUGCAUAUCAGGCUCCUCCCCCAAUGCUUGGCUCCGCCUCAUUUGCAUACCAAGCUCCGCCCCAAGGCUGUGGCUCGGUCUCAUUUGCAUAUCAGGCUCCGCCCCCGUGUCUUCGUUCCGCCUCAUUUGCAUGCCAAGCUCCGCCCCCAUGUCUUCGUCCCGCCUCAUUUGCAUACCAAGCUCCGCCCCCAUGUCUUCGUUCCGCCUCAUUUGCAUACCAAGCUCCGCCCCCAUCUCUUGGCUCCGCCCCUUCUCCACGUCAAUCAACCUGUUUUAAUUGGGGGGGGGGGGUCACAGAUACCGGCCUUAAUGGCCUUAAUGGCUUUAAUGGUUUUAAUGGCCUUAAUGGGGGGCCAAUAGGGCUCAUUGUGGGACCCUUACCUGGCUUUGGGGGCCAUGAAGUGCGAUGGGGGGACGAGACCCCAUAGAACUUGUGGGGAAGGCGACAACAGCUUCCGCCCCCUCCCCUCAGCGGCCGCCAUUUUGUCCCCCCCUCCUCUUAGGGCCGCCAUUUUCUCCCCGUCUUCCCGCUCUCAGCCCCUCAACCAAUCAGCGCGCGGAGCGGCCCGAUAAUCCCGCCCACAGCCCCGCGAGCGGGAAAGGCUGCGUCCAAUGGGGGAGCCUCAAUACGGUGGUCCCGCCUACCCGCGCAACCAAUGGGAAUGGUGAUGGGGAAGAGCGGCGUGGCGGAGAGCCAAUCAGAAGGGCGAAGGUCGUGAUUGACAGGGGGGAGCGAGGAAAAUGGCGGCCCUAUAUGGGAUAUAGGGACA
rnacentral:lncRNA from 1 species